rnacentral:rRNA from 1 species
UACGGAGGAGGCAAGCGUUAUCCGGAAUUAUUGGGCGUAAAGCGUCCGCAGGUGGCACUUCAAGUCUGUCGUCAAAGACUGGGGCUUAACCCUGGGAAGGCGGUGGAAACUGAAGCGCUAGAGUGCGGUAGGGGUAGAGGGAAUUCCCGGUGUAGCGGUGAAAUGCGUAGAGAUCGGGAAGAACAUCGGUGGCGAAAGCGCUCUACUGGACCGCAACUGACACUCAGGGACGAAAGCUAGGGGAGCGAAUGGG